rnacentral:rRNA from 1 species
AGUGAACGCUGGCGGUAGGCCUAACACAUGCAAGUCGAACGGCAGCACAGGAGAGCUUGCUCUCUGGGUGGCGAGUGGCGGACGGGUGAGGAAUACAUCGGAAUCUACUUUUUCGUGGGGGAUAACGUAGGGAAACUUACGCUAAUACCGCAUACGACCUACGGGUGAAAGCAGGGGAUCUUCGGACCUUGCGCGAUUGAAUGAGCCGAUGUCGGAUUAGCUAGUUGGCGGGGUAAAGGCCCACCAAGGCUACGAUCCGUAGCUGGUCUGAGAGGAUGAUCAGCCACACUGGAACUGAGACACGGUCCAGACUCCUACGGGAGGCAGCAGUGGGGAAUAUUGGACAAUGGGCGCAAGCCUGAUCCAGCCAUACCGCGUGGGUGAAGAAGGCCUUCGGGUUGUAAAGCCCUUUUGUUGGGAAAGAAAUCCAGCUGGUUAAUACCCGGUUGGGAUGACGGUACCCAAAGAAUAAGCACCGGCCAACUUCGUGCCAGCAGCCGCAGUAA